GAUAUUGCGCAAUGGGGGAAACCCUGACGCAGCAACGCCGCGUGGGUGAUGAAGGUCUUCGGAUUGUAAAGCCCUGUUUUCUGGGACGAUAAUGACGGUACCAGAGGAGGAAGCCACGGCUAACUACGUGCCAGCAGCCGCGGUAAUACGUAGGUGGCGAGCGUUGUCCGGAUUUACUGGGCGUAAAGGGUGCGUAGGCGGAUGUUUAAGUGGGAUGUGAAAUCCCCGGGCUUAACCUGGGGGCUGCAUUCCAAACUGGAUAUCUAGAGUGCAGGAGAGGAAAGCGGAAUUCCUAGUGUAGCGGUGAAAUGCGUAGAGAUUAGGAAGAACACCAGUGGCGAAGGCGGCUUUCUGGACUGUAACUGACGCUGAGGCACGAAAGCGUGGGUAGCAAACAGGAUUAGAUACCCUGGUAGUCCACGCCGUAAACGAUGGAUACUAGGUGUAGGGGGUAUCAACUCCCCCUGUGCCGCAGUUAACACAAUAAGUAUCCCGCCUGGGGAGUACGGUCGCAAGAUUAAAACUCAAAGGAAUUGACGGGGGCCCCGCACAAGA
rnacentral:rRNA from 1 species